rnacentral:lncRNA from 1 species
UGGAAUGAAUUUAAUUCUCACAUUCACUUCUAAGAAUCCCAUGUUUCUUUCAAGAAUCAAUUCACAUUCCACCUUCUGUGGAAAGCCUUACCUGAUUUUUCCUAUUGUGCUUUUUCCCCUCUCCAAUCACACCAUAAUUAUUUAUUUGUAUUUUGUAUUCCCCAAUAACAUUUUGGUUCUUUGUGAGUUCACUCUUUGAUGGUGGGUACUGUUGUCUUUUUUAUCUGUGAAUAUCCAGCCUUUAACACAAAUCCUUACACGUGGGGGGACGCAGAGUCAAGAUGGCAACUUAGAGAAAGCAAAAGAUCAGACCUCUGCAAACCCUUCCUCACCUAUCAAAAACACAAUGCUUUGAGGGGACUGAAAACCAAAUCUAACAACAUGACUGACCUACAGAACCCUCCUACAGGACCCAACUUAAAAGAAACACCCCAAAUAAGCCUGAAUUCUAGAACACAUGGGUUUAAGGGGAAGGAAGAAGGAAGGUCACAGGACCCCUCCCCCACCUACAGUGCUGAGCCCCCAGUGGUGGCUGGAAUCCCUAGGCAGGCAAGGGUUCUAGUACAGAGGCAGUACCUUGCUGGCACAGCUGUGCCAGUCUCAGGGCAUUGAAUAAAGGAGGCAUAGAAACAAGUGGAGGAGAAGCCCAGUGCAGAUAGCCAAGUCACAGGCAAAAUACUUCAUCUUACCCCCCACACUUUCUUGAGGUUUUGGCCUCAGAGCAUAUCCAGCUUUGCAGAUCAACCCCAUCAUGGCUCAAUCUUAACAAUAGGGCACAUAAGAAGCCUUCAGAGAGCAGGGAAGCUCAAGUUCCAAAACCGCUACCCCACAGACUGAUCUGAGAGCCUUGCUGUCUAAGCUACAAGGGCAAAGGCUACAACAAACUACAAGCAACAAUCUUGAUAACAAGGCAGGAAGGCCAGCUCCUUUUCAGCUUCUGCUGUCAGCUGGGGAAGAUUUGACAAACUUGAACAAUCUGCAGAACCAAGAAGAAGCCCCUUCAGGACAAAAUAGCUCAAACCCACUAAUCAAGCACAUAAGGAGAAGAGCAAGACUGCAGGUAACUAUGGGGCAGGGGAGGAGAAGGGGAAAAUGAGUUAACAACAGAAAAAGAAAAAAUAAAUUACAGUUGACAGCUUCUAUCCA